CCUACUCUAUCACUCUCUCUCUCUCUUUCUGUUCUCUUUCAGCCCUGCUAUCUCUCUCUUUUCUCUCAGCCUCGACCAGAAACGCCUCCUCUCCACUCGACUCUCCCCUUCUUCUGUUUCGUCUUUGGUCCUGCAUCCCCCGGAUCCACUCGACUCUCCUCUUCUUCUCUCUCAGCAACAGUGCUCUUCCUUCCCUUAGCUUGUUGCGUCGGUUGCACCUUCUUUCGCGCCACACUCUCUCAGCUUCCAGAUGGCUUAGCUCGGUUCAGACACUCUGCCGUGGGAUGAGGCGGUGUCGUGGCCUCGUUUUGGGGAUCGUUGGUAGAUCUUCCUUGGUUCGAUCUCUUGCUACUCGGAGCUUGGCUUUCAAGAUGAGUGUGAUUUAUUUCGAUGCUCCAGAGGUAUUUAUUGGGUUGUUUUCUUGUAAUGCAAAUAAGGUGUUAGUGAAAAUACCUCAAUGUACUAAUAUUGUUGUGGUGUUGUGGUGUCCACACCACGCCUCAAUGUAUUCAUCUUUUUUAUUUGCAAGGAAGCUAAGGAUACAUUUGUUUGGAUUGAUCAUAAUUUGGACUAUAUUGUUCAUUAAUUUAGGAAGAUUUGUUUCUUUCUUGGUAUUGAUUAAAUGUAUAAUAAAUCUUGGAUACUCAUAUGACAUUUCAUUGAGUAUAAGUUUUGUAACUAUCUCAUUGAAUUUAUAAGUUUUGUUAUUUUAAUCUAUAAGUUUUCAGAU